rnacentral:rRNA from 1 species
UACAGAGGGUGCAAGCGUUAAUCGGAGUUACUGGGCGUAAAGGGCGCGUAGGUGGAUAUUUUAGUCGGGUGUGAAAUCCCUGGGCUUAACCUAGGAAUUGCAUUCGAUACUGAAUAUCUAGAGUAUGGUAGAGGAAAGUGGAAUUCUCGGUGUAGCGGUGAAAUGCGUAGAUAUCGGGAAGAACACCGGUGGCGAAGGCGGCUUUCUGGACCAAUACUGACACUGAGGCGCGAGAGCGUGGGGAG